rnacentral:rRNA from 1 species
GAUGAACGCUGGCGGCGUGCUUAACACAUGCAAGUCGAACGGAAAGGCCAGUGCUUGCACUGGUACUCGAGUGGCGAACGGGUGAGUAACACGUGGGUGAUCUGCCCUGCACUUCGGGAUAAGCCUGGGAAACUGGGUCUAAUACCGGAUAGGACAAUGGUUUGGAUGCCGUUGUGGAAAGUUUUUUCGGUGUGGGAUGAGUUCGCGGCCUAUCAGCUUGUUGGUGGGGUAAUGGCCUACCAAGGCGUCGACGGGUAGCCGGCCUGAGAGGGUGUACGGCCACAGUGGGACUGAGAUACGGCCCAGACUCCUACGGGAGGCAGCAGUGGGGAAUAUUGCACAAUGGGCGCAAGCCUGAUGCAGCGACGCCGCGUGGGGGAGGACGGCCUUCGGGUUGUAAACUCCUUUCGCUAGGGACGAAGCGUAUUUGUGACGGUACCUGGAGAAGAAGCACCGGCUAACUACGU